rnacentral:rRNA from 1 species
AUUGAACGCUGGCGGCAUGCCUUACACAUGCAAGUCGAGCGGUAACAGGUCUUCGGAUGCUGACGAGUGGCGAACGGGUGAGUAAUACAUCGGAACGUGCCUAGUAGUGGGGGAUAACUACUCGAAAGAGUGGCUAAUACCGCAUGAGAUCUACGGAUGAAAGCAGGGGAUCGCAAGACCUUGUUCUGCUAGAGCGGCCGAUGGCAGAUUAGGUAGUUGGUGGGAUAAAAGCUUACCAAGCCGACGAUCUGUAGCUGGUCUGAGAGGACGAUCAGCCACACUGGGACUGAGACACGGCCCAGACUCCUACGGGAGGCAGCAGUGGGGAAUUUUGGACAAUGGGCGCAAGCCUGAUCCAGCAAUGCCGCGUGCAGGAUGAAGGCCUUCGGGUUGUAAACUGCUUUUGUACGGAACGAAAAGCCCUGGGUUAAUACCCUGGGGUCAUGACGGUACCGUAAGAAUAAGCACCGGCUAACUACGUGCCAGCAGCCGCCGUAACAC